rnacentral:rRNA from 1 species
GAUGAACGCUGGCGGCGUGCUUAACACAUGCAAGUCGAACGGUGAAGGCGGAGCUUGCUCUGCUGGAUCAGUGGCGAACGGGUGAGUAACACGUGAGCAAUCUGCCCCUGACUCUGGGAUAAGCGCUGGAAACGGCGGCUAAUACUGGAUACGAGCUGCUAAGGCAUCUUCAGCAGCGGGAAAGAACUUCGGUCAGGGAUGAGCUCGCGGCCUAUCAGCUUGUUGGUGAGGUAGCGGCUCACCAAGGCGUCGACGGGUAGCCGGCCUGAGAGGGUGACCGGCCACACUGGGACUGAGACACGGCCCAGACUCCUACGGGAGGCAGCAGUGGGGAAUAUUGCACAAUGGGCGGAAGCCUGAUGCAGCAACGCCGCGUGAGGGACGACGGCCUUCGGGUUGUAAACCGCUUUCGCCUGUGACGAAGCGUGAGUGACGGUAAUGGGUAAAGAAGCACCGGCUAACUACGUG